CUUGAAUUACAAUUCCGAUCGAGCGGCGAGCUGAAUCCUUUGCAGACGACUUAAAUACGCGACGGGGUAUUGUAAGGGGUAGAGUGGCCUUGCUGCCACGAUCCUCUGAGAUUCAGCCCUUUGUCGCUCCGAUUCGU
rnacentral:ncRNA from 1 species